rnacentral:rRNA from 1 species
ACUACAUGAAGCUGGAAUCGCUAGUAAUCGCGAAUCAGAAUGUCGCGGUGAAUACGUUCCCGGGUCUUGUACACACCGCCCGUCACACCAUGGGAGUCAGUAACGCCCGAAGUCAGUGACCCAACCAGAGAUGGAGGGAGCUGCCGAAGGCGGGACCGAUAACUGGGGUGAAGUCGUAACAAGGUAGC